rnacentral:rRNA from 1 species
UACGUAGGGGGCAAGCGUUGUCCGGAAUCAUUGGGCGUAAAGCGCGUGUAGGCGGUUCGAUAAGUCUGCUGUGAAAGUCCAGGGCUCAACCCUGGGAUGCCGGUGGAUACUGUCGGACUAGAGUACGGAAGAGGCGAGUGGAAUUCCCGGUGUAGCGGUGAAAUGCGCAGAUAUCAGGAGGAACACCGAUGGCGAAGGCAGGUCUCUGGGCAUUAACUGACGCUGAGGAGCGAAAGCAUGGGGAGCGAACAGG